GGCCAUUUGUAGGACAGGAGGUUUAUGGGAGAGGCCUCAUAGAGGGAGGGGUGAGACGAGAUCUGGUCUGCAAGGGCGCAUCGGAUGGGACGGGCAGAGCCGCCUGGAGAAUGGUGCUGGGGCGGAGGGACGCCGUGAGCAAGGGCAGAAGCCGAGUAGACCCUCCUUAUCCUCUCUUUGCGCUCUGGGGUUUCCGUUACCUGUGGCCAGCCCUGCUCUGAGAGCAGAUGAUCCUCCUUCUGACAUGUGGCCAGAAGGUCAAUAGCAGCCCCCUGGGUCAUGCUGCCUAGGUCAUUUACUUCAUUUCAUCUCAUCACGUAGGCGUCUUAUCAUCUGCCAUCAGCACAGGAAGAAGGUCGGAGCCUCCAAGUCCAGAGGAAAGGGAUCCAACAGUUGUGUGCUGGAGCCCUCCCAGCAGAUGUGUGAGAACUCGGCUCCCCUGAAAUGCCAUCUGCCAUGAAGUGGGAACAGGGGCUCCUCAGGGCCCACCUUGCACCCAAUCCUGAUGAGGCUAUGGAACCGAUCUUCCGUAACGUAUCACAGCCUUUAUUGAAGACUACCAUAUGCAAGGCAGAGGGAUAAAGACAUGAAUCUGCCACAAAGUUGCUCAAAGUCCAAAGAGGGAAGCCAGUAAUACGAGGUGAAAAGAACUCUGGAAAAAGCCUAUUUUUAAUGUAAAGAAGAAAAGGAUUUAGGAGAUAUGGCCCUUCUCUGAAGAUGUGACAAGAGUGUAAGAAAGAAAUGGAGUGUCCCAGAGACACAGUGUUCACUGGACGUGGAAGGAGCAUGAACCAAGGCGACAAGGGGACGUUGCAAGAAGUCAGAUUUCUUUUCAGACACGGCUGAACAGAGAGCGAUCAGGCCCCUUCAGCAGAGACACAGCCUAAACCAGUUCGCUCAGUGCGCAACUUGUAUGACGACCAGCGGACCCACGAUGUAUUCCCUCUUGGCAGUGUUUGUACAUCUCUUGAGUUAGGGCUAUGAUCUUCGUUAACUGGCUCACUGGAAGUGACACUGUUGUGGAGAGCAGGGGUUGGAGGCAGGUUGUUGGAGCCUGAACGCUUUCCCCCAGGAUUCGACGCGCGCGCGGCUUGCUCCGGUGUUUCUGUCCCGGGGCUCCCUCUCCAUCACGGUGCUGCCUUGAGGGUCCCUGCAUACUGCGCUCAUCUGACAAGGGAGAACGAACCGUUCGGAACCCAUCAGGGGCCAGGUUGCACUGCACAGUCUCAGGCCAUCUAAACUUCAUCGAGGGGAAAUAUUUGAACAGAAAAGCAGUUGGACAGGAAUUCGAUUUUAAUUAAAAUGUAUUUACUACAGGA